ensembl:lncRNA
GGAGGGGCGGCGCUCCCGCCGGCUGGGCUUCGGGGCAACGUUAACCGGCGCCCGCCGCCACCGGAGCAGGAGGUACCGGGGCCGCGUGGAGGGUGCGUGGACGAGGGUCCGGGACGCGGGCCUGGGGGCCCGGGUAGGGAGGGGCGUUUUGAGAAGGAAAGGGCGGGGAGGGCUCGGCCACUGCCCCGCCACCUGUUCCAGAGGGGACAUUUGAGGGCGCACUGCCUGGGCGCGGCGGUCCCCGGCCGCCGCCUCCGCUCCCCUGCUCCCCAAAGUUGAGCGGGGCGGCUGGAGUGGGAGCCCCGGCCCGCUAGGGUAGCCUUGCCCCGCCCGGGAGCCCUCGGAACAGCCCCGCCCGGGCCGGGUCCCGCGGGGGGAGAGGGGGCCAGAAGUCGGGGUCCGAGGGCGGGCCACCCCCCUCCCGCGCUGCGACCUUGGGCGAGUAGCGCCACGCUGUCUGGGGGCGCGGGAUCGUCCCGGGAGGCCUGGCCGCGGGGCCGCGCUCGCCGCUGGCCCUGCAGGGAGCGGCCGGCUGGAGGGCGGGCUGCCGGGGCAGGAGAUGCUGAGGCUUUGGACGCUCCGAGGCGGGGAGGGACCCUCCAGGUGCAGGGAACUGCGGGGGUAAGAGCGGAGAAGUCGGAAAGUCGGGCCUCGGCGCUCGCUCGUGUCAGGAUACGCGUCUGCAGACGACCCCUCCUUCCGGCGUGCUUCUCUCCCUCCCUCUUCUCCAGAUGGGAAAGAUUGAGUGAAGUGGGAGCUGGGAUGUGCUGCGGGGAGGUCCAACCUCAGAGUCCACUUCCCUUCGCUGCUAGGGAGACUUUUAUGAGCGGAUGGGAAAGAGCCAGAAGACAGAGUGGCUGAGGCCCCCGGAGAAGGAAGGGCAGGUGGAUGGACUGAGGUCCCAGCGGAUGCGGGAGGUGGCAGGUGCCCAGCACUGGUCCAGAGAGACCUUCCGAGCUGGUGAGGACAGGAGGUGAGAGGGAGGGGCUGGGAGGACACCUUAGGAACUGGCUUUGGUCUUCGUAGAGAAGAAGGCAGAAAAGCAUCAGUGGAAGGAAAGGGUUCUGGACCCAAGGUCCCCACUCCCUGUGCUGCUUGCUGGCCUUGUCCCUUUAAGUCCUCCCUGGUGUUAUCACCCCCUUUGACAGAUUCUGGGAGGGAGGGAAAGUACACUGUUCCAGGUCGCUCAGCUGAGGAGUGUCAGGGCUGGUUCAAAGUAGGCUCUCCCCACACAAGCUGCAGAACCUUGAAAAUCACUUCCCUCUCCUAAUUUCCAUUUCUAGUGGAUAUUGGGAAGUGACACCCAUCUCGUUCUUUCUGGAACUUGGUGAGUGUCCCUUCCGCUCCUGUAAGCCUCUGUUUGCCUUCCCUCUGAACAGACCCCAGUGGGUUCAAGAGCUUCCAGUGGCAGUCGGGUUGGCCUCGGGACUAGGCGAGUCCCCUUCCUUUCUGGGCCAGUGACUACACACCCUCCCCUGUAUACCACUCUUGCCCACCAGGAGCCGACCCCAGCAGAAGCACACAGCCUUCUCUGAUGUCACACCUGUGCAAAGUCUGAGUUGGCAAACAGGUAGCUGGGUGGACAGGCACAGAAGAGUGAAAUGGGAAAAGCAGUCUUCCCAUUCUAUGAACAGGCUUGAUUUGAAAGAGUAGAAGCCUCUGUCUCAGAUGUAGACACAGCCCAGAGAGGUCCCCCAACCCUCCAGUUGUCUCUCGGCUUCAUUGCUCCUUCCCCCCUGUCUCCAAGGCAACACCCUGGGUUGGGGGCAGCGGGCAGGCUUCCAUCAACUGAGCCCCCACUAGGUGCCAGACACUUUAUUUAACUCUCUAAGCCAUCCUGUGCUGUUAUUCCCAUUUUAUAGAUGAGGUAACUGAGACUCAGAGUCAAGUGCCUCUUUGUCACUGUGAGAUUUGAGUCUCUCUCGCCAGUGCUGUCCCAG